rnacentral:rRNA from 1 species
UACGAAGGUCCCAAGCGUUGUUCGGAAUUACUGGGCGUAAAGGGCGCGUAGGCGGCCCUCUAAGUCAGACGUGAAAUCCCCCGGCUUAACCUGGGAACUGCGUCUGAUACUGGAGGGCUUGAGUAUGGGAGAGGGAUGUAGAAUUCCAGGUGUAGCGGUGAAAUGCGUAGAUAUCUGGAGGAAUACCGGUGGCGAAGGCGGCAUCCUGGACCAUUACUGACGCUGAGGCGCGAAAGCUAGGGGAGCAAACGGG